GAGAAAAAUGAGGGCAACAAAAUUAUGGGAAGCAUUGGAGACAAUGAAGAUAGAAAUAAGAAUAGAAAAACGGAAGUAGAAAGAUUGAAAGGAUCUCUAUUCUUAUUUCUAUCUUCAUUGUCUCCAAUGCUUCCCAUAAUUUUGUUGCCCUCAUUUUUCUCA
rnacentral:miRNA from 1 species